rnacentral:rRNA from 1 species
UGUUUCGGCAAGGGGGUCAUCCCGACUUACCAACCCGAUGCAAACUGCGAAUACCGGAGAAUGUUAUCACGGGAGACACACGGCGGGUGCUAACGUCCGUCGUGAAGAGGGAAACAACCCAGACCGCCAGCUAAGGUCCCAAAGUCAUGGUUAAGUGGGAAACGAUGUGGGAAGGCCCAGACAGCCAGGAUGUUGGCUUAGAAGCAGCCAUCAUUUAAAGAAAGCGUAAUAGCUCACUGGUCGAGUCGGCCUGCGCGGAAGAUGUAACGGGGCUAAACCAUGCACCGAAGCUGCGGCAGCGACGCUUAUGCGUUGUUGGGUAGGGGAGCGUUCUGUAAGCCUGUGAAGGUGUGCUGUGAGGCAUGCUGGAGGUAUCAGAAGUGCGAAUGCUGACAUAAGUAACGAUAAAGCGGGUGAAAAGCCCGCUCGCCGGAAGACCAAGGGUUCCUGUCCAACGUUAAUCGGGGCAGGGUGAGUCGACCCCUAAGGCGAGGCCGAAAGGCGUAGUCGAUGGGAAACAGGUUAAUAUUCCUGUACUUGGUGUUACUGCGAAGGGGGGACGGAGAAGGCUAUGUUGGCCGGGCGACGGUUGUCCCGGUUUAAGCGUGUAGGCUGGUUUUCCAGGCAAAUCCGGAAAAUCAAGGCUGAGGCGUGAUGACGAGGCACUACGGUGCUGAAGCAACAAAUGCCCUGCUUCCAGGAAAAGCCUCUAAGCAUCAGGUAACAUCAAAUCGUACCCCAAACCGACACAGG